GCGGGGUCGCCAGGGUCGAACCGUCCCGUUUGUGGAGGUUCGGUGGUCGGGGUGGCCUUGGAUGUUAGGAUUCUGGACUCCGUUCUUUUUCUCCUCCGGUGUUACUUGAGCGUUUCAUUCACUUUGGAAAGCAAAGAGCUGAAGUUUAUGGAAACGCAAUAACAUGGCAUCAAAGGAGCAGGGCAGAACUGAAACACCUUUGUUUAUUUAGACAGGCUUUCACAUAGCCCAAGCUGGACCCAAGUGACUAUGUAGUUGAGGCUGGCCUUGAUCCCUCUGCUAUUACCUCUUGAGCACAGAACCGUCAUCCGGAAGUGAUGGAAGCAGAUGCUCAGCUAAGCACUGGGCUGAGCUCCCGGAGUCCAAUCAAAGACAGAGGAGAGAUACUGUGAAUUAAAGGACAAGACCAUCAUGAGGAAACCCACAGAGAUAGCUGACCCGAGCUAAUGGGCUCUGGACUGACAGCUGGGGAACCUGCAUAGAACUGAACUAGGCCCUCUGAAUGUGGGUGACA